CCAGUUGGAUCUCUCUUUCUCCCCCCCCUCCCCUCUCCCCUCCCCUCCCGUCGUCGCCACGCCUCACGCCACACGCCACAAACCCUAGGGCCGUCGAUCCCGCGCUCCUUGCCUACCGCGUCCCCUCCCCUCCUUGCCCGACCGCCUCCCCCACCCUCGCCCCACAUGGCGGACGUCAAGAUCGGGCGCCGCAGGCACCGGAAGAUGGUCACGGCGGCGAACCCGCCUGAGGUGCUCAACCUCCCGCCGGGCUUCGACGAUCUUACGGCGGAGGAGUACCGUAUCCUCACCGACAUGGAGAUCGACAACUCUACUGAGAAGCCAAGUGAGAGGGCAGUCCCCGCGAGAGCUCCUGGUCACCUGCUCCUCUGCUCCCCUCAUCUCCCUUCGUCACAGCACAUGCAUCUCCUCGUGACAGAUUCGGGGUUGGUAGUUGAGAUUGAUAUGCUGCAUGGUGAUAUUACUGGGAUUGUUGUCUUAUUUUGAUGCUGGCUCUUGCUUGCCCUGGCUGCUUUAUGAAUGUGUUUCAGUGUACAGGGAGGCAGAGGGCCGUACCCCACAAUGCACCUGAGAAAAUGAGCACAUCUCUAUGUACCCCAUAGGCCCAUAUCUCAGGCCUAUCUGAAAUCCAGAGAUGAAAUCCGUAGAUUUCAAAUGAACCAUGACAUGCAAUACAUCAACAACAGCAUUUCAUUCGUGCAUACCACAGGCCUUGUGUUUUGAUGUAUUUGGUGGUGUAUGUUAACUGGGUAUUCACUCUGUCUACCUUUGCAGGAGAAGACAAUUUUCAUCUACCCAAAGUCCCUCCAUACAAGGAAUGAGAAAGCCAACAUUCGCAACUGGCAGCUCAAUAAUGCCCUCAAUGCACUUGGUGACACGAGAUCGGAGAUCCUUUUCCUCCUGGACGUUCAGCACAAGACCAAACAGACCAUGAAGGACUUGAAGAGAGCCAGGGCUCGACACGGUGAUCUUUUGGAGAAGGCCCCAAUUACCAUACUAGACUGGAUACAGAAUCUACCUGUGCUCAUGGAUUAGGUAAGUCUUCAGCUAAUUUCUUAUCAAAAUGUUUCGUUUGGUAUUUUUUAUCUGAUAGUCGUUGUAUCUUCUGAUGCAUAAUGUGUGCCCAAUGCUACAUUAGCUACAUGUUGUAAAUGUUAUCUUCAGGUGAACUCCGCACAAAGCUCUUGUACAUAUAUGCCUGUCUAGCUUAGUUUCUAUGCUGCAAGUAAACCCAUAGUUUUGUUUAAUUUCGUCACAUGUUCUGUUUUGAAGAAGAUAUUUUCUGAUUUGGUAGAUUUUGUAUGUUAUUUUGCGAUGUAGAACUUUAUUUGAGAGCAGCGCACUGCAUAUAUAUGUUCUGCUAGAAAUAGGAUAAACGAUUUCAACAGCAAACUAGGAAACUCUUCUAGCAUCUACAUUCAGAAAAGUACGGGAGAAGUACACUGAAAACAGGUUUGCCACUAACACAUAACAGAAACAUACGAUAAAUAUCAUCAGUGUGCUCAAUAAACCAUCGAUUGCAAACACGGCCAGAUGUGUGCUAUAUGAACCCAUCAUAUUCCUAAACUAUGCACCAGCAGUUAGUAGAUACUUCACUUAUGCCUCCUGAAUGCCUAUCAUGAUGUAAAUUUCCUUGGUUUACGGUGUUCAAACCGAAUGUUCCGCUUCUAGCUCCAAUGGAGCCAAAGUUAACUGACGCUAGUAUGCCAUUUGAUGCGUUAAGUCUUGUUACCUGUGACUUGUAGUGUCGUUAGUUGAAAGUAAAUUCCUCGGUUUAGGAAUGGCACUGCCAAGUUGUUUCUGCUCUAUGAUGCCUAAUGUUCCGAAUUUUGUUUCAUGCUGCAAUAAUGAUGUCCUGCUAUGCUGUUCAUUGUUACCAUUUGGUGCUCAGAGCUGCUGUCCGCCUAAUUAUUACAGCCUAAGUUUAUUAGCUCCCAUAAAGAGCCAUGACUGAGUGCUUUGGGUGAUGUCUUGCUCUAAUGCAACACAAGACCUGUUGUGCAACAUGUAGUCGAUGACCUCCAGGUCUUGUGCGCUUGCCCUCACCGGUCUCUUGCUUCAAAGAGAACCCAAGAUUGGCUCAUUAUCUUCAGAUUUCAAAUAUCCGGAUGGUGUAUGCAUGCCCUCCUAACAUUUCUUUCUUUUUAAAAACAUAUGUAAGAAUAGGCUGUUGUAAAAAAAGAGGUAAAAAUAGCCACAUAUCUAGCAUCAAACUGGCAGAAAUCCAGCAUCCUUUCUGGUAGCAUUCUUAACUGGACUAUUUCAGAAGAUAACGCACCAGCACUGGAAUAGUUUAUGGAGAGUAUGCCAGUGGCAAUAACGUGUAUCAUGCAGUAGAAGGCAACAAAAAUAGAUUACAAUAAGUUUGCGAGUAUCCUUCCUCCAAAACACAAACAACCAAGAUGCCAAUGGCAAUAACGUAAGUCCUGUGAACCACCCAUUCUUUCUCUUGACUAGGCAAUCGUGCAUAAUUUGAAUUCAUCCAAGAUGCUGCCAGAUAAGGCGUUGAAAGUUGCUGCUGAACAUUGCAACACCUUAGCACCGUGUUGCUUCCAAGGGUUCCAGCGAAAUGAGCCAAGACAGCGGAAUCGAGCAGAUAGCCACCAGCGUUGCAGAUCAUCUUGCGGAGAUGGAAUUACCACUGAAUUGCAUGCUUGAUAAGCAUCUGAACCAGAUUUGCCGGAAAAAAACACAUUUCCGCAAAAUGUGAUCCAUGUUAUCUUCAUCCUGGAAGUGGAUGCAGCAUGGCACUAGUCUACCAAUGGUCUAAAGCCUGUAGGAAUAUCUGAAAAAGCACAAUGAGGGUAACAUCAGUACAAAAUUACAAAAGGAACUCAGAGCACAUGAAUAUUGAGUGAAAGCGCUAACAAUUUGAGUGGCUGAUAUCUAAGAAUGCUCAAUACAGUGCAGAUCAUGAGAAUCCGACAAAUAUGAUGAUUCAUCCCUACAAAAUAGUGAUUGUAUCAUUGCAGAUUGUCUAUAUAAUGGGUCAAGCGAGUAAUAACAAACCAAUAAACGCACAAGCGCACGCACACAUGAUGUGAUAUAACUAAGCAUCUCCACUUAGCAUUAUUAUAAAAAAAAAGUGUGUCCGAACCUAAUUGAGUUGACUGCUUCUAGGGUUCUCUCAUGACCUUCAUCUGCUUCGUUGUUUUCAUUUUCUGAAAUAAAAAACAACAUAUUGCAGAAACCAUCACACAGUACAGAGUUGAAAAUAAGUUCACAGGCAAAAUUAAUUACAGAUUCGGAAAAUGCUGAUAGUUUAAGAACAGCCAACCAUCAAGGCUGCCGUUUUUUUUCUGACUCAUAAUGACAAUUAUUGCUGGGUGUCGAACCCAGCGCCUCGCUUCAGUUUUCCAGUAUGAGUGGCAAGACUUCGGGCAAACUGAGUAGCUACUCCACAUAUCUGAGCUCAUGUACAUCGUAAAGUGAUGAUCUGUUGCCUGACUAAUGGCCGAGAUAGAAUUUUGGUUGUCGCCAACAGCAAAACAGAACAUGCAUUGUAAGAUAUCAAGAAGGAAAAUGUUAGGGAUUAGGGUUCUACCACAAAGUCCUAACAUAUACCCAUUUCCGGUCUUCACAGUUAUUUUAAUCUCAGCAACCAGCUUCUUCUCCUGGAAUGGUACCACUGUGGUAUUAGGAAACCAAAUAGGACAGUACACGCAAAUUGCAGAUUGGUAAGUGGAAGAACCAAUAAAAAAUAAACAUGCAAUGAAACUGCUGGCUGUAUCACACCUUCCUGGAAAAGAAUGAUGUGUGUUACAUUCCUAGAGCAUGACGGUAUCGCACCAUAGGAAAGCCUCUAAAAAUUUGAGGCACCUCCCAGCCUCAUCAUUAGGAGUGUGUAUAAGCAUUGCCGUCUAAGGUCCAAAAUGAAGUAUAGCAACUUUAAUAUGACACUGAUCAGAUGCACAAUUGUUGCUUUAAUUGCUGAACAAAGAAUACUGGGCAACGAGUAUGACAACAAAUUAACCUCAUCUCAUCUCAGGAACAAAUCUACUGUCUGGUCCAUCGGCAAGUGUGACCAGAAGCAUGAUAGAACAAUGUCAGCUCUUUACAAUGGAAGAGCAUGUUUUCAUUCUUCGUACACCAGCAGUGGCAACGCUACCUAAUCUCUACACAGUCAAGCUUUGCCUCUAGUAUGUGGUGGGAGCUUAACAUUCACAUUAUAUUCUUACCAGUACGGCAAGACCAUAUGGUGAUUAAAACAGCACUUAUAUUUGCAGAGAAGCCUGUACAGCAAAUCAGCAAGUUGGGGUUCAUGGCACUAGGUAUUUUAGUUCCACUGGAUCAUUAACAAUCUAUUCAACAGCAGUGACUCUGGUGAGUUUUAGCAGCAUGCAAUUGAAAGGAAAGGGAAGGAAUAUACGCACUUCGUCGCAUGUUUCCUGCAUAGUAUCAGUAUCAGCCACUCUACCAUG
rnacentral:lncRNA from 1 species